AUACGGAGGACGCGAGCGUUAUCCGGAUUCAUUGGGUUUAAAGGGUGCGCAGGCGGCCGUGCAAGUCAGCGGUGAAAGCCCGGGGCUCAACCCCGGAAGUGCCGUUGAUACUGCGUGGCUGGAAUGCGGUCGAGGCGGGCGGAACGUGGCGUGUAGCGGGGAAAUGCGUAGAUAUGCCACAGAACGCCGAUAGCGGAGGCAGCUCGCCAGGCCUGCAUUGACGCUCGGGCACGAAAGCGUGGGGAUCGAACAGGAUUAGAUCCCCUGGUAGUCCACGCCGUAAACGAUGGGCGCUCGUCGUCGGCGACAGACAGUCGGCGGCCAAGCGAAAGCGAUAAGCGCCCCACCUGGGGAGUACGGUCGCAAGGCUGAAACUCAAAUGAAUUGACGGGG
rnacentral:rRNA from 1 species